ACAUAGAGUCCCCCUUGAUACGGCUGUUCAGCAGACCAACUUUGUUGUAAAUAUUUAGAUAAAAAUGGGCUUUAGAGCAGCCACAUCUGAAGACCCACAAGGCUGAAUGUUACACAGGGGGAGCACCAUUAUUUAAUCUGAACAUCUGGAAUCCAUCAUGUGUAGUGAAGGACAAGAUGUAUCCUCAUUUUUAAGCCAACUCCAUGAUAAAAUUGAUGGAUGGGACCAAUGUGUACAGGUGAAGAAGAUUGAUACUUAAGAUCUGUAUGUUGUGAUAGGAAGAUCAUAAGAGGACUUUUAUUCUGCUUCAUUUUUUUUUACUUUAUUUCAUUAUAUUGUAUUUUAUUUUAUUUAUGGCACAGCAAUCAGAAUCUGAUUGAAGAUAAACUCAUCCUAUUUGGAUCAGAGCAUUAGAAGAAAGAAAGAACUGACACUUCUCAACCUUCUCUAGUUGAAGACUUCUCUUUGCUAUAACUACUUGAAGAGUUCAGCAGAAAAAUUUUACUGAAGAAUCCCUGAUCCUCCUUUAAGUAGCUGUAGAGAAUAUUCACUAAGUGUAAUGGGACACGUCUCUCUCAUGCCCACUUCUUUUCUCUUAUCCCUGCAAGAAAAUGAAGUUUUGUUGGAGUCAG
rnacentral:lncRNA from 10 species